rnacentral:rRNA from 1 species
AAGGUAUGCAAGUCGAACGAUCCCUUUCUGAUUUCUAGUAACUUCGGUUGCUAGUUUUCUAUCUGGGAUAGUGGCAAACGGGUGAGUAACACGUAGAUAACUUGCCUCGAAGUCGGGAAUAGCUCGUCGAAAGACGGGGUAAUAUCCGAUGGUCUCUAACCACUUCGUGUGUUUUAGAGUAAAGCUUUUGUGCUUCGAGAGAGGUCUGCGUCCUAUCAGCUAGUUGGUAAGGUAAUGGCUUACCAAGGCUAAGACGGGUAGCUGGUGUGAGAGCACGGUCAGCCACCAUGGAACUGAGACACGGUCCAUACUCCUACGGGAGGCAGCAAUUAGGAAUCUUGCGCAAUGGGGGCAACCCUGACGCAGCGACACAGCGUGGAGGAUGAAGGUCUUCGGAUUGUAAACUCCUUUUAUAUGGGAAGAAUAGAUGACUGUACCAUAUGAAUAAGGACCUGCUAACUACGUGCCAGAAGCAUCGGUGAUGCGUAGGGUCCGAACGUUAUCCGGAUUUAUUGGGUGUAUAGAGAUGCGUAGGCGGUUUGAUAAGUCUUGAGUUAAAGACCUCGGCUCAACCGAGGAAAAGCUUUCGAUACUAUCAGACUUGAGGCAUAGAGGGGUGAACGGAAUUCCGAGUGGAGUGGUGAAAUACGUUGAUAUUCGGAGGAACAUCAGUGGCGAAGGCGGUUCACUGGCUAUUGCCUGACGCUCAGGCUCGAAAGCGUGGGUAGCAAAACGGAUUAGAUACCCGUGUAGUCCACGCUGUAAACUAUGGAUGCUAGGUGUUCGGUACAACUGUUUUUAAUCUUCGGAUUUUAAACGGGAGUGCUGAGUGCCGCAGCUAACGCGUUAAGCAUCCCACCUGGGAAGUACGGCCGCA